rnacentral:lncRNA from 1 species
UCAUUAUAAAACUUAUGUACUUUUUUCUGAAGAAAAUGCUUUAAUUUGUUCAUAUUAAGAAGAAGUUUACUUUAUUUUAAUUGCUUCCUUCAAGCAAUUUCCUGACAUAUUUUAUGAUGCAAAGUGACCUCCGUGUGACCCAUCUCGUAAAAAUCCGGUGAUCGCAAUACGCAUUGAUGUCCUUAAAAUAAACUAUUAUCUGAUUGUACAUGUUAAACACGUGCUCAAUAUCCAUGCUUUUUUGUUGAUUGUUGACAAACAGGUGACAAUCGUUAAACUUUGGCUUCAAAACACAAACUUUAAUUACCUGCCAUAUUUUCACAACACUGACCGAUUGAAAAAAAAUUGACGAUUA